UACGAAGGGGGCUAGCGUUGCUCGGAAUCACUGGGCGUAAAGGGUGCGUAGGCGGGUCUUUAAGUCAGGGGUGAAAUCCUGGAGCUCAACUCCAGAACUGCCUUUGAUACUGAGGAUCUUGAGUACGGGAGAGGUGAGUGGAACUGCGAGUGUAGAGGUGAAAUUCGUAGAUAUUCGGAAGAACACCAGUGGCGAAGGCGACAUACUGGUCCGUUACUGACGCUGAGGCUCGAAAGCGUGGGGAGCAAACAGGG
rnacentral:rRNA from 1 species